rnacentral:rRNA from 1 species
UACAGAGGUCCCAAGCGUUGUUCGGAUUCAUUGGGCGUAAAGGGUGCGUAGGUGGCGCCGUAAGUCAGGUGUGAAAUCUCGGGGCUUAACUCCGAAACUGCAUUUGAUACUGCGGUGCUUGAGGACUGGAGAGGAGACUGGGAUUUACGGUGUAGCAGUGAAAUGCGUAGAGAUCGUAAGGAAGACCAGUGGCGAAGGCGGGUCUCUGGACAGUUCCUGACACUGAGGCACGAAGGCCAGGGGAGCAAACGGG